rnacentral:misc_RNA from 1 species
UAAAUCAUCAGGGGAAAUGUUCGUUCAAUUACAAAACGAAAGAUAUAUCGCUAAAGUAAGAGGUUUUAGUGCCUAACACACGUUUCCUUCUCUAUGGGGUUUAUGUGUGUAAGGGAAGGGCACCUCGUGUGGUUUCUACGGUCCUGAGACGAAGUAACAGUAUCGUAUGACUAUACGUUAAAUGAAAGGCCCGUUAAAAAUGUUAGUUUUUGGAUUUCGAAUAUUAUAUUAUUUCUCGUAAUAAUUCGUAUCAGAGUCCCCAAACUUUCGUAUCCUGAAAUUCUUAAUUUAACUCCUUAAAUUCUCAAGUAUUCAAACUCUAAAAUUCCCAAAGUCCGAAGUUUUAAAUCCACAAAGAUUCUCCAUAUACAAUCAUGGUAUAUGAUAUUGCCUACUAUUAUUCUAAAAAAAAUACUGAUCAUCCGAGAUUUGAUAGUUUAUAUUUGACACAUGUAUUUCAUUUAAAAAGAUACUUCCAAGAAAAACGGCACUUUCGGAAUAUCGUUCGAAGAUCGAUACUAAUAUUUCGAACGAUUUAAUCGGUUUGUUAUAGUACCGACUGUUAAAGAUUACUGCUGACAAGAUCAGUAACGGUCGGUUUACAUUAACAUGUGUAAUUUUAUUGUCCAGACUAGAAGAACAUUAAAAUGGCCAGGGUUCGGAUAGAGCGAGGUACGGUGCUGCAGUAGUCGAGGUGGGGGGUGGUGCGACGCAUGCGCAGUGAUGUACUCGUGCCCAGCUGUGCACGAACGUGAAAUGCGGCGCGGCUGGCGGUGGUGGCUGCUAGGAAAGCAAGCGAGCGAACGAGCGAGUAAGCGAGCAAGCAAAACAGGCAGAGGCUGCCCUCCUGUCUCCCCCACCCGUAGUAUGCCUCGCAGAGCCCAUGGCCUCCGUACACACGGAGGAGAGUGAGGCAGCCCCAGCCGCUCCUCACGUCAUCCGUUGAGAGAGAGACGACGGGCCUCGACACGGCGAGGAGCAAUAAUUCUAACGAGCCAAGAUGGCGGCGGACACGGUGGCCCUGUCCGCACUCACGCUCGCCAGGGGCGACAAGAUCCUCGUGACCGUCGAGUCCGCGCUACCGGACAUCGUUGUCGUGUCCUUCGUUCACGGUGCCAAGUGCUUCCAGGGCGCGUUGCUUGACGCCACCAAGAGAGGUCUCCCGUGUGGCGUGCAACCCCCGGAACCGGUGCCGGAUCCCGAUGGCGACAAAUUGGCCACGAUCGCAGCCCGUUUCAGCUAUUUCCAAGAGAGAAAGAGUUCGCUCGCCUCUGCGAAAGUUGAUCUUCGUAGGAACAUCAAUCCACCGGCCAGGUACAAGAAUGCACGACCAACGGUCAGGCUCAGGCCACGGCAGGUGUUGUGCAGUAAGUGCAGGUCGAUCUGCAACGAGAACAGCGAGAACGUGGAUGUCAGUAGAAAACGGAAACACGAGGAAGCGCAGUCGGAACAGCAGCAGAAUUCGCAGCAGCCCCAGGUCACGGGUCAUGGAUCCACCAGGAGGAGCGAUCGACGUUGCGGUCAACAGCCUCAGAAAACCUCGAGAGUGUUGUUCUCUCAGUGUCAGUCUGAAAACAUCAAGUCCUCGUCGUCCACCGAGCUGAGCCCCGAUUCGUCGAAGCUUGGACCGUCUCUCAUACCGAAGAUCUCGAGACUACAGCCGAACGAGAUCAACAACGCCAUGCAGGGAACUGAAAAAGUGAAGCUCGGUCAAUCGUACUGGAACAACCGAGCCGACGAGGGAGAUUCGGCGGCUAACGCGAUCGAGCCAACGGAGGAGCGCAUGGAGUCAACGGACUGCGAUAGUAAUCCGUCAAUGGCGUACUGUGCCACGCCCAGAAGACUUAGUAGUUCGUCGGUAGAAAGUGCAAAGGUACCCGAGGAAGAGGAGAAGAAGACGUUCGCGGCAGCGGAUUCGACAAUGAGGCCAAGAGCCGGUCGAGUACCUAGGAAGAAACGAUCCGUUGGAUCGAUGGAGGAUCUGUGGGACGAGACCGUGUUCGAGGACCCGACGAGAACGGCCAGAACCACGCCGGUGAUUAAGAUCUCCUUUGGUGCUCAGGGCGAAGGUACUGUACUGAAGAUACCCUCGAAGAUACAAGAUCCAGAGUACGAACAGGAAACCGACGAUGCCGAGGACGUACAAACGGAGACGGAGAGAGAUCCACUGGAAUUACCGAGGACUUUCGACAACGAUUAUACUUAUCGCGAGGACGCCGAGGAGGAUGGACAAGAACAGGUGGAUCCUCAGAAACAAGGUGUGAAGGAUGCCAGUGCUAAAGCGGCGAAGCGAGCGUUGAAAAAGGCAAAGAAGGAAGCCAGAAGAAAGAUGCUCGGUGGUGUCUCUCCAGCGAGAUCCCCUUGUAACGGAUCUCCACGGUAUAAUCCCACGUACGACUCCUUAUCGUAUCACCGUCGCAAGCAUAAAGUGAAGCAUAAAAAAAAGCACAAGGAAGACCGGAAACAUAAGAACCAGCAGCAUCAGCAGCCCUGUCUGGAGUCCGGCAGCACCGAGAAUCAGCAAAACUGGAAUGUACUGCCGGGUAGCGAAUCGUACACAGCCAUAAAGGAGCAGUGCCUCAAGCAAAAAUUAUCCAUAUCUCUAAAGAGAUUGAACACAAACGCUUAUGCCAGAUGUGAUUACCCUGUGAGCAAUGCCUCUUCCGGUUGUAAGAGUCCUGGUGCCAGCAGCGACGAAUUGAGCGAACAAGAACCCGAGGUGGACGCUGGUGAAACUGCACCUGACUUUCCACCGCAGUCGCAUCCUCUGAUGAUGCGCCUAGCCGCGACACCUGUCGAACAUUGUCUCACCGCUAAUGGCAGAAGAAUGGACGUUGGUGAUGUUGUGUGGGGGAAGAUUCAUGGGUUCCCUUGGUGGCCUGGAAAAGUUCUUAGCAUCACAGUUUCUUGUAAAGAAGACGGCACAUCUUCUGGGCCACAGGCUCACGUUGCCUGGUACGGGUCUUCGACAAGUUCUCUGAUGUCGUGUGAUCAGUUGAGUCCAUUUUUGGAAACGUUCAAGACACGGUACAAUAAGAAGAAACGAGGGCCGUACAAGGAGGCGAUACGACAGGCACAGAACGAAGCUCGAAAUCAGAUCACGCCAAACUCGACGAGCAGCGUGUUAAACGUUUGUGGCUCACCGCGCGAGGUCAACGUUCUUUCCUAAGGGAAGGUGCACGCCACUCGACACCAUUCCUUACUGCCGAGUAUCCGUCGGUCGAGAUAAUUCAAGCGACGGAUCGAAAUCGUCAUGUAAUAUAUUACAAAUUUUGUACAUAAUGACUAGCAUUAAUGAAAUAGCUUUUUGAUCGAUGUUCCGAUCAACGGUCACGCCUGCCGUCGUUCGCGACGAUUCAUGGUGAACAGACUCCGAAUGAAGUUUACUGCCAUCACUGGCAAUGUCCUUUCUUUCAUUUUCUUUUUUUAUUCUUAGCUUUUUUUCGAGCGAACAUUUAGCAGAUAAGAAGUAUCUAGAUAGGGUGUAACGUAGAGAUAAUAACGUCGUCUCUCGAGAAUAAUUUCGUACUAAAAUGAAAAAAAAAGUAUGCGACUUCUACGAUAGGUACACACAUACACAUACAUACACACACACAGACACGGGUGUCGUCGUGUUUCAUUAGUUAGCGAUACUCGUUACUUAAAUUCUUUCUUGUAUACGUAUAUGUAUGUAUACAUAUAUAUGUAUAUUUGUAUUAACGAUUUCAUUGUGAUCAUUAUCGGAAAAAUCGUACGUACUAUGAUCCAGUGUGGGCAGUGAAUCUUCGAUACAGUCCGUAGACGUUGCUGAAUAGAACACGAUCGAUGAAUUACUCGAUCUGUCGUGGUAUCAUGACGGAAUCAAGAACGUGGACAAUACCUUUGACAAAGUGAAGUUACCCACGAUACUUUAACUACUUCUUUGCACGAAGAAUUGCUAAAUACCAGUGAGGUUUUUAUCGAAAGAAUGGAACUCAAUCACAGCGAAGCAAUCUACACGCGAUGAAUCAUACAGAUUGAAAUCAGAAAGAAUCAGAAUUAUUGCGUCCAGUGCACGUGUACACUCGAUAUUGAUACCACCUAGGGAAAUCAUCGUGGACAAACAUCUUUAUGAAGCUUCUAAAAUUCGUGGACACAGUGACAUUUAGGUCCACGGACAAACUAAUCUCCGACAAACCUAUCAACCCCGAAGACAACCCAUCCUUCGCCUAAUUAACCCCGCUUCGCUGGCGCGAUUAACGAGGUAGCAAACGAAGUAGGCAGCCUGGACAUCUACAGGGUGCGGAUCGUUGAUAAAGAAAGAAUUAACAGAUACGGCAAUUUUCAAUAAGGCUUAGACGGCGAGGAUUAGCGAUUCACCCCGUAUAUUUGCACGGGGUGAAAAGGAGUACCCGAGGAGUCUGUAGAGCAAGAACCGAAGAGGGUGGAAUCGUCGUAGUGCGCGUGUCCAAAGGCGAUGGUCGCAGGCAACCGCCGCAAAGUCUCAACCCUGUUCCGGGGUCGGAUGCAGCCCUGAGUCGGUGCUAGUCGCGCCCGCGCCCGCGCCGUGAACACCGUCGUCCAUCGGUCCUCUGCCAGCGUAGCUGACACCCGGGAAAAUGAAGCAGGUGCGUCCACCUCGAAGAA